UUUUUAGAGAGGUAUGCGUCCAGCUGAGUUGCAUGAAUCCUUCGUAUCGGCUUUGGUUCAUGUUCAUUAGGCUGAUGUAUAAUCCUGUUUAGAAGGGUGUUUACUACCGGCUUGUUCCCAUCGAUAUUUUCCAUGCUUUUGUGGUAAAGUUGGUGGGAAGCUGCUUUUUAUGUUCUCCGAAAGCUGUUCAACUUCCUUCCCAAACCAGUUCUUUCCUUCUUCAGACACUGUGUCAGGCACCUGUUGGCACUCGCAAGCUGUAAAGUAUGGUAUCCAAUUAAUUCACAUAUUCUUACUUGAUACAUCUCAUAGCUAUUGCUCUUUGUUCUUUUUUGUUUUCAUUAAAAUGACAUCAGAAUCCAAUGAAACUUGAUUUUUUGGUCAAGAUCUUGUUUGAAAUUAUUCUUGGACUGAAGCCCUUUGCUUUUACUGAGAUUAUCAGGUACUCAGGUGAGAAUUUGACAGGCAUCAACUACAUCUUUAAAACUAUUCUCAUCUUGAAAUCCUAAUCAUUCAUGUGCUAUCUGUUGUUGCAUACUAUAAAUUUCAUGUGAUUAUCUGCUGUUUCAGUGCUUGGAUUCCUUUCCGGAUUGUCAUAUAAUAUAUACAAAUGUCAGGUUUAGUUUUUUGUGAAACUUUUCUUACAUUAUGUACGAGGUUUGUUUUUUGUUUUUGCAGAUGGAGACAGUUUGCAGGAUUUAUGACUCGGAUUUCAGCUAAUCGGUGAAACGAUGCUCAAACUCGAUCAAGGGCCUAAUCGAAUUUCAACUCAGAUGCAUAUGAUGAAAUUUGAACUCAAAGCCACCAAUGAUGAAUGGAUCCACGCAGGAAAAGCAUUAUUCAAAGGGGAAUUAAUUAAUGUGUGCGCAGACAUGACUUUGCCUCAAUGUUAGACUCAUUUAAAGCACCGAUCAUCAUUGGUUGGUCUAUCAAUUCUUGGAGGACUUGGUUUCUUCUUUGCGAUUGGCCAAGCCAACCUCGUUGGAAAAUGCUCCUUUGGCGGCUGGUAAAGACUCUUGCAUUUGCAUUUCAUUAUGGCUAUUCAUUGAUACAAAGGUCGAACUUGAAUUAAUCAAACACAUGCUUAGAUCA